ensembl:lncRNA
CCCUGAGCUAUUUGGAUCAUCUGCCUCAGUACAUCUCAGCUAUGUGAUUUCUCUUGCCUACUCCUGGCAACUGAGUCUCUCUUGCUUGCUAUCCUCACUUUGCUGCUGCAGAUAAUUCUACAUAGCUUCCAGAUAUCAGCUACGGAAACCACGCCAGCUUCUCUGAAGUCGCUUUUGCGAGUAGCUUGUCACAAUUCAGUGGUGACAGGAAACUGAAUUUCAUCCCUGCAUUCUGGAGCAAGUUAAAACACUAUUUGAUAGUUAAUGGACCUUUGUUCUUUAAUGUGUAGCUGUUUACCAUUGUAUUUUGGCAGCUUCUUUGGAGGCAGCAACACAAGGGGGUUGUUUCUGUGGAAGGCCAGAAAUCCAGGGCUCCUCUUGCUUGUUUCUGCCACACCACGGUGGAAGAUGCUGCUGGUCCGCAUUAUGCCUGGUGUUAAAUAACAUCCUCUUGUCUAAACUGGGAUGGAUCCCUGCACACAUUGGGCACGCAGAGCCUCGGCAGAGCUUACUUGCACAUGAGGCACUGGCAGCUGGAUUGGGGCUCCACCGGGAAACGCUUGUGAAACGUGACAUCUCUGCAGCAGCGAUGUGGGGCAGCGAGUCAAUUUUGAGGGACAACAACUCUUCUGGAGGGCUCCAGACCCUCCAGACCCUCAGGUGGAACGGCCGCUGCCGUGCCCGCUCCAUGUUCCUCCUGGUCUCAGGGUGUGGGAUGCAGCCUGUGUACCGGGCACCACGUCUAUUGCAUCACAUGAAUUUGGGAGGAAAUGCUCUCCGGCCAGCAGUGCUCCAGAAAACAGAAGUGCUUUUCUUCACAGAAAUCCAACUCACAGGUGCUCACUGGGAUGAUGCUGUGGGGCCAGUGUGCUCUGGAAGUGUCCCUCGUACCCCUGCACAGUCAUCGUUAGGAGAGCCAACACAAUGGCUGCUACUGGGGAGUGGCACACAUGCGAUGCCACGGCACAGGGCCUGCCCAUCCCUCACUGCAUCCAGGCACUGCAGGUACCCAGCACCAAGGAGGAGAGGAACAGAGAGGAGCACAGAUAGAGGGGAGAUGAUGAGGCUGGGCACAGUCUUUUAUCCCGCAGGAGAGAAGGGCAGAUAGCGAUGGAAAGGCAUUAGGUGUGGGGCUGAUGGGUCCCGCGGGAGAACAGCGGGUGUGCUUCUCCUUUAACGUGAAUGUACAGUAAAUGGUCCCCGUGCUGUGUGCCAGACGGAUGGGACAGAAAAGGAAAGCCGGUCUGUGUGCAGAGGGCAAGCACUGUACUGACAGCGGGAGCGCAAGGCUCCUCAUGCUUUUCUGAUGACACGUUUCAACCCAGAUCGAGCUCUUUAGGAGUGAGAUGCCUCAUGUGUCACUGCCCUCAAAUCCUUGGCCUCCGCACUGAGACUACCAACGAGAAUGCCAGCUAUGACGGUGGGUUUAUUUUCACCAGACUGAAUGGACUUCCCUCUCAUUCCACAGAGAGCACGAGACAGCUGUAAGUCAGCAGCAGCUUUUCCUUGGAGAGGGGCCCAAGGCAUAAGAUUUAAACCACCUAAUCUCUCUGUGCCCCUGUCCCGGGAUCCACGUGCCAUCCUGACCAAAAUAACUGACAGAGGGCUGCGGGCGAGCGCACCUCGCGACACCUCGGUGCUCUCGGAGCCGGCCAGCGGGACGCG